rnacentral:siRNA from 1 species
CUUGAACGAGACUUGCGUUCA